CCGCAAGGUUAAAACUCAAAUGAAUUGACGGGGGCCCGCACAAGCGGUGGAGCAUGUGGUUUAAUUCGAUGCAACGCGAAGAACCUUACCUGGUCUUGACAUCCACAGAACUUUCCAGAGAUGGAUUGGUGCCUUCGGGAACUGUGAGACAGGUGCUGCAUGGCUGUCGUCAGCUCGUGUUGUGAAAUGUUGGGUUAAGUCCCGCAACGAGCGCAACCCUUAUCCUUUGUUGCCAGCGGUCCGGCCGGGAACUCAAAGGAGACUGCCAGUGAUAAACUGGAGGAAGGUGGGGAUGACGUCAAGUCAUCAUGGCCCUUACGACCAGGGCUACACACGUGCUACAAUGGCGCAUACAAAGAGAAGCGACCUCGCGAGAGCAAGCGGACCUCAUAAAGUGCGUCGUAGUCCGGAUUGGAGUCUGCAACUCGACUCCAUGAAGUCGGAAUCGCUAGUAAUCGUGGAUCAGAAUGCCACGGUGAAUACGUUCCCGGGCCUUGUACACACCGCCCGUCACACCAUGGGAGUGGGUUGCAAAAGAAGUAGGUAGCUUAACCUUCGGGAGGGCGCUUACCACUUUGUGAUUCAUGACUGGGGUGAAGUCGUAACAAGGUAACCGUAGGGGAACCUGCGGUUGGAUCACCUCCUUA
rnacentral:rRNA from 1 species